GACGAACGCUGGCGGCGUGCUUAACACAUGCGAGUCGAACGGAAAGGCCCUGCUUUUGUGGGGUGCUCGAGUGGCGAACGGGUGAGUAACACGUGAGUAACCUGCCCUUGACUUUGGGAUAACUUCAGGAAACUGGGGCUAAUACCGGAUAGGAGCUCCUGCUGCAUGGUGGGGGUUGGAAAGUUUCGGCGGUUGGGGAUGGACUCGCGGCUUAUCAGCUUGUUGGUGGGGUAGUGGCUUACCAAGGCUUUGACGGGUAGCCGGCCUGAGAGGGUGACCGGCCACAUUGGGACUGAGAUACGGCCCAGACUCCUACGGGAGGCAGCAGUGGGGAAUAUUACACAAUGGGCGGAAGCCUGAUGCAGCAACGCCGCGUGCGGGAUGACGGCCUUCGGGUUGUAAACCGCUUUCGCCUGUGACGAAGCGUGAGUGACGGUAAUGGGUAAAGGAGCACCGGCUAACUACGUG
rnacentral:rRNA from 1 species